UGGGGAAUAUUGCACAAUGGGGGGAAACCCGUGAUGCAGCGACGCCGCGUGAGUGAAGAAGUAAUUCGUUAUGUAAAGCUCUAUCAGCAGGGAAGAAAAUGACGGUACCUGAGUAAGAAGCCCCGGCUAACUACGUGCC
rnacentral:rRNA from 1 species